GUUUAAAGCAGGUGUUUAUUGAUUAUAUACUAUAAAUUGUGUUUCAUCGAUACAGGAAGAUGAACUGGUCACUGGUUUAUAAACCUUUAAUGGAUGAAUAGAUAAUACGUAAGGUAUAAUAGAGAUCUGAUGGAAUUCUGUGUUAAAAGACCGCAGCAUUGCCUUUGGGAGCUCUGGUUUUAGAAGGUAAGUUUAUUUGCCAUUUAAAGAUGCUAUAUGUAUGAAGGCCUGCUGAUAUUUUGGGGAAAAUACCGCAGCAUUUGGAGUUCUCGUUUUUGAAAGUAAAUUUGUCAAGUUGCCAUUUCAAGAUGCUUUAGGAAAGGCGUACGGUUGCCUAUAAUUGCUAUACAGCCACUUCAAUUGAACUUUCAUGGAUAAUUUUCUCUUUGGCAACCAUUUCACAUCUUAUUUUACAGGUAUGAAGAUCGAAAGGAAUUGUAUAAGCUUUUGAUAAGGAAGACUUCGGACUUCACAGUAUAUAAAAAUAAUCAUAAAUUAUAAGGAAGACCAGCUGGUCGGCUACACUUUCGGCAUAUAGAUGCAUGCCGUUGCUACCACUCAAGCUUUUAAUAUAGAUUAGACCGUUGUUUUUCCCGUUUGAAUGGUUUUACACCAGUAAUUUUUGGGCCCCUGUAUAGCUUGCUGUUCGAUAUGAGCCUAGGCUCCGUGUUGAAGACCUAACCUUGACUUAUAAUGGUUUGCUUUUAUAAAUUGUGACUUGGCCCAUGAUGGAGAGUUGUCUCAUUGGCACUCAUACCUCAGACUUAUAUCUCAUCUUCUUGUAUCUAUAAGACAGGUUCAAUGUCAUUUAAACUGUGUCUUGUUCGAUGUUAUUAAAGUUUGUUGAUGUGAUUCAUAAGUGUUUCUCUUCUUAUUUCUAUGGUAGCUAUUUCGAGGCCCUUGAUAGCUUGCUGUUUCUAAUUUCUAUGGAAGCUAUUUGAGGCCCUUGAUAGCUCGCUGUUUCUUAUUUCUAUGGUAGCUAUUUCGAGGCCCUGGAUAGCUUGCUGUUUUUUAUUUCUAUGGUAGCUAUUUUGAGGCCCUUGAUAGCUUGCUGUUUCUUAUUUCUAUGGUAGCUAUUUCGAGGCCCUUGAUAGCUUGCUGUUUCUUAUUUCUAUAUCAGCAGUUCACAUAUAUAGUGCUACAGGAAGCUGUGAAAUGUGUAAAAGUAUCAGGACUGCACGCAAAAAGUCAUCGUACUGAAACCAACAGUAAACCAGGUUAUUUAUCUGGUGUUGUUUAUCUGACACAGACAUCAAAAUUCAUUAUAGGAUCGCCGUAUAAAUUAGACACGUUUCUAGAAAGUUUAUCGUUUCUUUUUUAAUAUCCAAUUCCGUUUGGCAAAGAUUUUACGAAUUUUUGGUCCACAAUGCUUUUCAACUUCGUUCUUGAUUAAGCCUUUUUAACAUUUUUUUAUUCGAGCGUCACUGCAUGGGUUCUUUUGUAGACGAAAUGCGCGUCUGGCAUAAAUAUAAAAUUUCAAUCCUGGUAUCUAUGAUGAGUUUAUUGACAAAAUCAGAAACACAUGUGUAAUUUAAAAUAUGUCUCUGACAAACUGAUUUUACAAAUUGCACUACACGAUCAACUUGUGAAAUACAAAACAGUAUGUGUUAUACAUACUAGUACUUUAUCUAUAUUCAAACUGUCAAAUAGGUAACAACUCCAAACUGUCAUAUACAGAGGAGAUUGGCCACCCGUUUAGUGAUGUCUAGCUUGAAAAGUCUUGAGCCUGUUAUUUUUAUGUUUUUUACAUAAGUUUUUUAUCUAUUUCAUUCAUAAAAUUGUGUGUGGCCACUUUGUGGCAGUUAUAACAGCUACAACAUGGCGUUGUGCAAACUUGUUACAAUUUAAUGACCAGCCCUAACUUUGUGGUUAUUCUUAUGUUCUUAUCAAUUGUUUCUUUUUCGUAAUUCUGACUGCCCUGUCCGUUAAUAAAAAAAAUACUAAGUACUAAAUAUAGUAGUUGUUUUCCAUAAUAAAAAGUAAAGAAUAAUUGGUAUUCUUCCAAGGAACGUCUCAUGAUUUUCCUAUUUCUUUUUACAUUUGAGUGUAUAUGGACUUUACUGAACAGGUUCCCUUUUUUGUGUAGGGGCCAGCUGAUGCCCAUCUCUGUUUGCAGAAAUUCGCUCAUUGAAGACUGGCUGUUUUUCUGCUCUUUAGGUCGGGUUGUUGUCUCUCUGACAUAUUCCCCAUUUCCAUUCUCAGUUUUAUUCAGGACGGUGUGUCUCAUGUGUAUUUAUAGAAUUACAUAAUUACUUUAUUUUAAUCAGCUUAUUCUAUUAAUUCAGUAGAUUACAAUAGAAAACGACAUCGAAUGCCAUUGUUAUAUAGACACAGUAGUACAGAAGUAAUGCUAUAUUGUUUUGACGAUUAUAGGCCGCUGUUUAAAUAUUGUUCGUUUCUUUCAUUCUUUCAAAUAUUAAUUUGUUACAAAUUUAUUGGAACAUGUUAGUCAUGCAAUACUCAUUGUUUAUAUACAUUUCAAUUACUUUUUUUUUAAUUAAAACAAAUAUUUUUAAAAAGUCCGUGUUUGUAAAAAUACCAAACUUUCGAUCAAAGAAGAUCCUAUAUAUACAUAUACUUAUUUUGUUAAACAGGGGAAAACAACCCCACAAAGUUUGAUGUCUCUUAUAUGAAAUACAAACGGACAUUAACCAAAUUAUAUAUGUUAGUGGACAAAUAUCAAUGUUUUAUAAAUAUACUUCAUGUUUUUUUUUAUUAGAAACUUAUAUGGGAAGGUUGGGGGUCAAGGAACUUAUUGUUUUCAGUUUAUUUUUUUACUAAUACAAUAUAAUAUAUUUCAUGUUUGGUAUUAGUAACAUAUAUAGGAAGGUUGGGGGUCAACGAACGUAUUGUUUUCUUGUGUUUUGUCAAGAACAAAGAAAGAGAUAGAAAUAAUAUGUUUUGAACUUCAAUUACCGACAAUUAUUUUAAAUCAAAAACUAAUCUUCAUAUUUUAGUAAUCUACAGGUGUUAUUUCUUAGGUCAACAUUACACACGGAAAUAUUUAUAUAUUUAUCUUUUUAAGAUUAUAGUUUACAAAGGCUUUGGACCGUACUCGACAAAAUGAUAGCAUUUCAUUCAAUGGGAAUUAUAGUGAAAUGUAUACAUGCACAUUAGGAUAGGUGCAUAUAGUGAAGGAAAUUUGUGAGUGUUGAUUUGUUCACAUUCAAUGUCAACAAAAAUAAUAAAUUAUAAAAAUUAUAAAGUUUUCUUUGGAAGUAAAUGAGAGACUAAAUGUGGAAUAUAGAAAUAAAUAUGGAUAUUCUGUGGGAUGUAAAUGAGAGAAUGAAUGUGGAAUAGAGAAAUUAAUACCAUUAUGGAUAUAAAACAAAGAUAGAUAGUUCAAUAGUGAAGGAAAUAAUAAUACCAUGAAAAGGAUGAAUCACAUAAAUCAGAGAUCGAAUGUGAAAUAAGGAAGGAAAUAAGUGAAAAGAAAGGAAGAAAUAAUAAUCACUUCAAAAUUCUUUGGAUGUGAAUUAUAUAUAGAUAGUGAAGGGAGGAAGGAAUAAGUAAUAUAAUCAAUUCUUUGGAUGUGAAUAAUAAAUAAAAUGUAAAAUAGUGAAGAAAAUACCAUUUAAUAAUGCAAUGAGAGGAAUCAAUAAUUAAUUGGUUCCUUUGAUGUAAAUCAAAAAUACAGUGUUACAGGGAAGGAAAUAUAACUUAAAAAAACAAAGAAAGUAAGGAAAAAGAAGACACUAUGGCUAAUCAUUACACAUUUAUCAAUGGGAAAUAUACACCAAUAACUCUGCUACCAAGGCCGAGCUACAGCAGUUACGAUUCGUACACUGGAAGUUGCUGCUAUGGUACAGGAACAUACGGUAAGUUAAAACGAAACAUGGAUGAGCUGUCUCCGGG
rnacentral:lncRNA from 1 species